rnacentral:rRNA from 1 species
GACGAACGCUGGCGGCGUGCCUAAUACAUGCAAGUAGAACGCUGAAGAGAGGAGCUUACUCUUCUUGGAUGAGUUGCGAACGGGUGAGUAACGCGUAGGUAACCUGCCUUGUAGCGGGGGAUAACUAUUGGAAACGAUAGCUAAUACCGCAUAACAAUGGAUGACACAUGUCAUUUAUUUGAAAGGGGCAAUUGCUCCACUACAAGAUGGACCUGCGUUGUAUUAGCUAGUAGGUGAGGUAAUGGCUCACCUAGGGGACGAUACAUAGCCGACCUGAGAGGGUGAUCGGCCACACUGGGACUGAGACACGGCCCAGACUCCUACGGGAGGCAGCAGUAGGGAAUCUUCGGCAAUGGGGGCAACCCUGACCGAGCAACGCCGAGUGAGUGAAGAAGGUUUUCGGAUCGUAAAGCUCGGUUGUAAGUCAAGAACGGGUGUGAGAGUGGAAAGUUCACACUGUGACGGUAGCUUACCAGAAAGGGACGGCUAACUACGUG